rnacentral:rRNA from 1 species
UACAGAGGCCUCGAGCGUUAGGCGGAAUCACUGGGCUUAAAGCGUGUGUAGGUGGAUGCCUAAGUACUUUGUGAAAUCCCACGGCUUAACCGUGGAAUUGCUUGGUAUACUGGGUGUCUUGAGCCACUCAGGGGCUACCGGAACAAACGGUGGAGCGGUGAAAUGCGUAGAUACUGGGAGGAACACCAGUGGCGAAGGCGGCUACCUGGACCGGUACUGACGCUGAGGCGCGAAAGCGUGGGUAGCAAACAGG